GAAAUGCGAUAAGUAGUGUGAAUUGCAGAAUUCAGUGAAUCAUCGAAUCUUUGAACGCACAUUGCGCCCUUUGGUAUUCCAAAGGGCAUGCCUGUUCGAGCGUCAUUUGUACCCUCAAGCUUUGCUUGGUGUUGGGCGUCUUGUCUCUAGCUUUGCUGGAGACUCGCCUUAAAGUAAUUGGCAGCCGGCCUACUGGUUUCGGAGUGCAGCACAAGUCGCACUCUCUAUCAGCAAAGGUCUAGCAUCCAUUAAGCCUUUUUUCAACUUUUGACCUCGGAUCAGGUAGGGAUACCCGCUGAACUUAAGC
rnacentral:misc_RNA from 1 species